rnacentral:tRNA from 1 species
GAACGAAAAUCCGUUGGUUUCACGGGACCGUGAGGGUUCGAAUCCCUCUAUCCCCAGCA